rnacentral:rRNA from 1 species
AAUCAACGCUGGCGGCGUGCCUCAGACAUGCAAGUCGAACGCGAAAGUCCCCUUCGGGGGACGAAGUAGAGUGGCGCACGGGUGAGUAACACGUAGGUAAUCUACCUUCGGAUGGGGAAGUAACAACCGGAAACGGUUGCUAAUACCGCAUAAUGCAGCGGCACCUAAUGGUGACAGUUGUUAAAGCGGGGGAGUCGAAAGACCUCGCGUCUGAAGAGGAGCCUGCGGCGGAUUAGCUAGNGGUAAGGUAAUGGCUUACCAAGGCGACGAUCCGUAGCCGGCCUGAGAGGGCGGUCGGCCACACUGACACUGACAUACGGGUCAGACUCCUACGGGGAGGCAGCAGUCGGGAAUUUGGCAAUGGGCGAAAGCCUGACCCAGCAACGCCGCGUGAAGGAUGAAAUCCCUCGGGGAU